ensembl:lincRNA
AGCAUUUGUGCACUGAUUAUAAUUUUGAGAUGCAUUGUCAGUAACCAGGGUGUAUAAUGGAUCUUCAACUCUAAUUACUUUUCUCUCCACAGGUGUCUGGAAAGGGUCCAGAUGGAAGCACACACACCCUUCGCUUUGAAGGGAUGGAGCGGCAGUAUGCAUCCUUACCCAGGGGAGGCUCAGCAGAUCCUGUGGACUACCUGACAGCAGCACCCCGAGGGCACUACAAUGAAAGAGAGCUUCCAUACUACCCAGGGCCUCAUCCUGUACAACCCCUAAGGGGGAGCUAUUCCCGCCCUCCAGAUCUGAGGAUGGCAGAUCUCCGAUAUCCACAGUACUACCCACGCCCACCAGCCCAUCAGCACAAAGGACCCUUCAGACAGGAUGUUCCACCUUCCCCACCUCAGCACCAGAGAGUUCCAGUCUACCAGGAGAUGGGCAGAGCAGGGCCUCAAGGGGGCAGCCCUGACCAGCACCCCUAUCGUAACCAGGACCCCAGGCAGAAGAACCCCAUGACUGCAGCAGUAUAGCUGAACAUUACAGAGAUCUACCAAGCAAGGAAGACACCAACACCACCUUUGCCCUUGCUAGACACCUCCAGGUGAAGGUGUCCCAUGGUACAGAGUGGCUCUUGGUCCUUGAGGAUGUGACACUUGACUGAUGAUCAGAAGAGAAAAAAGGGGGGACAAGGGUUUGGGGGUGUGGAUUCAAAAGGAAGAAGGGGUGGGGUCAUAAAAACAGAACUUCCUGAUACUUGAAAGGCUUGAAGAAUUGGUUGGUUGGAAAAGAGUGGCAAUUGAUUAAGAAUCCAUGGAGAUACACUAUAGUAAACCCUGGCUAGAAUGCCAGCUGGUUACAACCCCCCACCCUAUCACUACACAUAGCACAGGUAGCUAUCUUGGCCAGGCUUUGUCACACACUCAGAGACUCACUCUCAGUCCUGUCCUUGGAGCUGUGCCUACACAGUGGCAGAGUAGAAAGGCUCCAAUUACGGCCAUGUUCAUAAGCACAGUGUCUCCACUGAGAACCAAGUAACAAUAAUCAUGACCAAUGAGUGACCUCUGAGAUGUUCGAUCCGAAGGAAGGCUGAAUUUAUUUAUUUAUAGUCUACCUUUAGUUCUUGGUACUACUUGUUUGGUACAAAGCUUUCACAUUCCCUUGCUUUUGACAGAAAAGCCAGUAUUAGUGUCCUGGGAGGAUGUGCAAAGCUGUGAGGGCUUCCAGAAGGAACACAUUCCCGCCAGAACCACAGUGAGCAGGUGAAGAGGGUUGACUGUCCCUUAGUCCUUGCUUUCCUCUCCUCCAGGCCCUGGCAUGCUUGCUUGGAGAUGGCUCAUUUCAGAGUCCUCCCCAAAUGCCUAUAAUUAUUUUAACUGAGACCUCUACUUUUAGAUUUCCACUCAAGGAGUAAAGUAUACAUGUGAGUGUGAUGGGUAAGGAAAAGUGAGCCUGCUGGUCAGGCCACACAGGAAGCAAUGUCCUAGGGAUGUCUGUGCCAGACUCAGUGCCAAACAGUACCUAUCUGCCCCUGGGUCAGUGAGGAAACUGGUCACCAGCAAUGAAUGUGUGUGUGUAUGUAUGUGUGUGUGUGUGUGUGUGUGUGUGUGUGUGUGUGUGUGUUUUCAAACACAUGUGAUUACCAGUAUAGAGAGGAGAAGAGAAAAUUGCCUUCUGGAAGUUUGAUGAGGAAGGAAUCAGAGGAAGUAAAGGGAGAAGAAAUUAAGAUUAAAUCAGUGUGCAUCUGCUUUAUCUCAUUAACAAAUGUCAGGGCAAAGCCAAGGUCUCCACCUGAUUUAAAAGACAAAGAAAAAAGCUUUCUGGCUAGAGAAAGCUGCAAAGCCGCUCUUCCUUCCUUUGAGCUUUUCUACGUAUCCAACAGAGCAUCCGAAAUGUCCAAGCUGAUCCAAAUGGGAACACAUACAAAAAACUGAGAAAUGGCAGACACGGCCGGGCCAGCACUGUGAAUGUCUCAGUAACUACUGAGAACUUUAAGCCACUCACAUUCCCUCUUCAUUCCCCUCCCCAAAAGGUCUUUAGUUCAAUACAGACAUAUUUUGGCUGAGAGUAGAAUACCACUGACCGACAGAAUUUACUGAAUUACAGUAUUCUAAAACACAUAGAGUAGCCAUCUGGCCCUAUUUAGUCUUUUUUUUUUAUUAUUCUUUUUUUGUUACCAAGAAUAAUGCAACCACUGGUUUUAGACGUAAAUAGUGUCAUUUGCUAGACUCCAAGAGAGGUCAUUAUCUAAACCACAAUUACUGUGGCCCUCUGAAAAAAUUGACUGUCAAGUUGCUUUUUGUCAUCUGCCAUCUCUCUUCAGCCAGUGCCCUUCCAUCAUAUGUAAUUUGUUCAGUGGGGUGGAGGACCUCAGGCAGGCCCUGCCCAACAAGGCAUUGUGGCUAUGCUGUAGGGUCCCUGGCCACCCUGCUGAACAGGGCCUUUCCUCUGAGCCAAGGAACCCUGAAAGAAAAUGAUAGAAUGAAGGAAAUGCAACUUUUGGGAGAAAGCAUUAGAUCAACUCGUAAGCCAGGCAUGGUACCACGUGGCAGAGAAUCCCAGCACUCAGGAAGUCAAGGCAGGCAGACUGCAAGGUGGAGGUAAACCUGAACUGCAGGAUGAGUUGAAAACCAUCCUGGACUGUAUGACAAGACCCUGUAGGUUUUUUUGGGGGGAGGGGGUAGAUUGUUUUUGGUUUUUUAAACAUUACUCUUCAGUGUGUUCUAUAUUUUACUCAAAUUUCUAUAAAGCACUGAUUCUACCCAAGGAAGAAGUUUCCCCUUGCAGGAAGGGUGGACCACUUACAGAUGAGCCAUAGGUAGGUGACAAUGGCGUGCUGUAGAGAAGUGGCACUGCAGAUGACUGCUCAUGUUUCUGGGUCCAGCAUUGACACUUUGAGCACACAGCACCCUAUAUGCAGGUUUCAGAAAAUCUGCUUCAGACCUUGGCUUUGUGUUGUACACAUAGUCCAUCCAAUAAUUGCUAAUCCUGAAAGGCCCUCGGAGGCUCAAAGGUAUUAUUAAAGAGAACAAAAAAGAGGUGAUAACAGCUUUCUUUUCUUGCUUAAAAGUAUAGCAGUUGCUGCAUUUGACCCUGCCUUAAAGAACUAACAUUAUAUUUGUGACGGAGGCUGCAUCAAGCCAAGCAACGGUUAAGAACAGCUUGGGCAGUAAGAUUUAUAAUAUUUGAGUAGUACUCUCCGUCUGACUUGUCUCCUCUCCACAGCUCCAGGACAAUUAUUCUGGGGUGCUAUGAGAACAGGUGGCUAUCUGGAAGUCCAGGUUAUAAUCAGCAGGUUCCCAGAAGAAGGGAAUAGCUACCAGGAUAUUUGUAACCUUGAGAAAACUCAUUCGAGUAUCUCUCUAUAAUGGGGAACAGAGAGAAAAGUUUAUCAAGACCUACAAACCUGCUCCUUGGCCAUCCAGCUGCACCUGUCCUCUUUCCUCCCUUUCCUCCAUGACUAGAAAGAUAAGAGAGAACAGACCACUGGAAACCUUUAGUCCCUAGAGAACUCAGUCUUCCACAAGAGAGAGAAACACAGCUCAUUGAUCCACCACCACUCCUCUUGGCUUAAUAUUGUUUCCCUCCAGAGUUGAAUCAGUGAACAAACAAAAGACCAUUUUCUUAAAUCAUGAUUCCAUAGCAAACAAAGCUUAGAAAAAAUUAUUCUAAAACUCCUUAUUCUGAGACUUUUCAGAACAUCUAUGUUGAACCCACAGGACCUCAUGAAGCAAAAGUCUGAUGUAUUCAGUAGCAUUGUGGAGAAAGAAAGCCUUGGAGGCUUUAUUGGAGCCUUAUUUCUGCUGCCGACAGAAUAAAAUUAAAACAAGGUCCACUGUCCUGAAUUAUUUUUAGCUAAAUCUAUCUUGUGAAGGAAAUCUUCCUGCAACUUUAGAAUCAGAGAGCUGGUUCCUCUGUUCCCUAGUCCACAGAGGGACCAAGACUAUAAAGAGUAAUUACUUUUCCCCCUCACUGAAAAUCAACAGCAUUUGGCUUUGUUUGCUUGCUGCUUAGUGUUUGAGCAAUGUUACUGGGCUGCAGGCCUGUGGAAGGAAUGGAAAAGUGGUUGAUAAAGGAAUAUUUCUCUGUAAAAUUCCCAUCUGCAUUAAACUCUGAGAUCCAUUGUGAGUGACUUUCCAAUUGGUGUUAAAUUGGGUAGACAUUCCAUAGCUCCCUGGCCCAUGUUGACAGUAAGAAAGUCCAAGUUCCAUGCCAUUAGGCAGGACAGAGUUCCGUUUAGACAAGUCCAUAAUAGUGUUUCUCCACCUCAGUUCACAUCAACUUUGUGUAGAAAUGAGGCUACAGGGAGAUGGGAAAAGGGAUUCUCCAUAUGACACCCCUACAAAGUCGCCUUUCUGCUAACAGGGACAGCAAAAAAGUUAGAGAUCUAAAACUAAGCCAGGAUUCUCACGUGGAACCAUGGCUUCUAAGUGUUAACUCUUUGUCCCUCCUCUCCUUAUAUAGGCAUGCAAUCACCCACAGCCUGGCUUCUAAAGUUGGGUUUGGUUACUAAGCUCAGAGUGGGAAGUGAACCAUUCCCAAAGAUUUGAGCCCAUCUCUUGAUCUUCAGAAACUGUUCCGUUCCAUCUGCAAUGCUAUUUACUACUGGAAUAUAAAACAAAACCUGUUGUUUAUACCCUCACUUUCUCUAGUCUUUCCUGUUCUUUUAUGAUUACCAAGUCAUCUGUUCUUACAUUCUAAAGAUAAAUUAUGUGAAAUCAUAUUUUGUCAUAUGGGGAUGGAGAGUGAAUUCUUUACAAACUUUUUAAUAUGAUCCCAUUUAUAUCACUGAAGACAUUUUGGAUGUUAUUGUAUAUGAGUAUAUAAAUUUUCAUGUUUUAUUUUGCAUUAAAAUAAAGCUUUAUUCAAUCAGUGAGGCAAUUGGUGUCUUGAUUUGUUUGGGGAAUCUGAUGAAUGGUUAGGUGGACCUUUGCCUGCUUACUCUGAUCACUCUAAUACAGUGGUCCUCAACCUUCCUAAAGCUGUGAC